AUGAACACAAAGGGAAAGAGGAGAGGCACUUGAUACGUGUUCUCUAGGCCUUUUAGAAAACAUGGAGCUGUUCCUUUGGACAUGUACAUGAGAGUUUAUAAGAAAGGUGAUAUUGUAGACAUCCAGGGAAUGAAUACUGAUCAAAAAGGAAUGUCCUACAAGUGUUACGAAGGCAAAACUGGGAGGGUCUACAAUGUUACACAGCAUGCUGUUGGCACUGUUGUAAGCAAACAAGUUAUGGGCAAGGUUCUUGUCAGGAGAAUUAUUGUUCAUAUUGAGCAUAUUAAGCACUUUAAGGGCUGAGGCAGCUUCCUGAAACUUGUGAAGGAAAAUGAUCAGAAAAGAAGAAAGCCAAAGAGAAAGUCACCUGGGUUCAAGAGAAGUGCCAGCCUGCUCCACCCAGAGAUGCACACUUUGGGAGAACCAGUGAGAAGGAGCCUGAGCUGCCGGAACCCAGUCGCUAUGGAUUCAU
rnacentral:lncRNA from 1 species